rnacentral:rRNA from 1 species
GACGAACGCUGGCGGCGUGCUUAACACAUGCAAGUCGAACGGAAAGGCCCUGCUUUUGUGGGGUGCUCGAGUGGCGAACAGGUGAGUAACACGUGAGUAACCUGCCCUUGACUUUGGGAUAACUUCAGGAAACUGGGGCUAAUACCGGAUAGGAGCUCCUGCUGCAUGGUGGGGGUUGGAAAGUUUCGGCGGUUGGGGAUGGACUCGCGGCUUAUCAGCUUGUUGGUGGGGUAGUGGCUUACCAAGGCUUUGACGGGUAGCCGGCCUGAGAGGGUGACCGGCCACAUUUGGACUGAGAUACGGCCCAGACUCCUACGGGAGGCAGCAGUGGGGAAUAUUGCACAAUGGGCGGAAGCCUGAUGCAGCAACGCCGCGUGCGGGAUGACGGCCUUCGGGUUGUAAACCGCCUUCGCCUGUGACGAAGCGUGAGUGACGGUAAUGGGUAAAGAAGCACCGGCUAACUACGUG